UAUGUGAUCGUCUCUCGCAUAUCAAUAAGCGGAGGAAAAGAAACUAACAAGGAUUCCCCUAGUAACGGCGAGUGAAGCGGGAAGAGCUCAAAUUUGAAAUCUUAAAGGGUUUCCCUUUACGAAUUGUAGUUUAAAGAAGUGUUUUCUGUUGAGGUUUUGGUAAAAGUUCUUUGGAAUAGGACAUCAUAGAGGGUGAGAAUCCCGUAUUUGACCUUUACUUUCAACUUUGUGAUACACUUUCAAAGAGUCGGAUUGUUUGGGAAUGCAGUCCAAAAUGGGUGGUAAAUUUCAUCUAGAGCUAAAUAUUGGCGAGAGACCGAUAGCGAACAAGUACCGUGAGGGAAAGAUGAAAAGAACUUUGAAAAGAGAGUUAAACAGUACGUGAAAUUGUCAAAAGGGAAGCGUUUGACACCAGUGUUGUUUUUCUGAAAAUCAAUUAAAGAACUGUUUAUGCUAAGUUGUUUAGACUUUAUCAGCUAUCUGUUUAGUUUUGAGCUUUUCUUUAAUGCACUUUUCAGUUAACAAGUCAACAUCAAUUUCUUUUGCUGUAAAAAAGCUUGAGGAAGGUGGCUUGAGAUUCGUCUUAAGUGUUUAUAGCCUCUUGCCUAUGCAGUCGGAGAGAUUGAGGUCUGCAGCGUAGAUCCUUCGGGGCUAAAUGCAUUUGUGCUAAGUUAUAGCAUUUUAUAGACAACUUGUUGACUAUGAUUUGUCUUGUAGCUUACUCGCUUAUGUUAUUUUACCUACGCUUAGGAUGUUGAACGCGCACAGAGUCUC
rnacentral:rRNA from 1 species